CCGAGUAAACAAAUUACCAUUAUCAUUGUUGCUACGACUCAGUGAUAGUGAUGACUCCACAAAUAUCCAUUAUUAUUUAUUUGUGUUAUAAUUAAAAUUUUUCCGCGUUUCCAGGAAGUCCGGCAUGGAUCUCCCGAGAACCUCGACCCCCAUGCCCUGCCGGUGCAUGGUUAGAAUUUCGGCACAAUGUGGCCCGAAUUGCGCCUGUUGCAGGGAAUACAGGAGAUUCAUGGAAAACCACCGGGAGCCCAAAAAUUUGCGGAAAGUGUACCGAGUCAAAGGGGUCGAAAAGGCGGCCUGCUGCGACAUCGUGGCUGGACAUGUCCUCUUCAAGUGCUCGCGGAAAUUCCUAAGCAUGAAGGACUUUUUGGCAAAACUGCGACGGAAGUUUAAAAGGAACAAAACGUCACGGGAUAUAUUGGAAAGUGUAUUAUAGGUGUAAACAUUUUUUGUGUAUAUUUCUAAAUAAAUAAAACUCUUGUGUCAGUUGCAAAAUCAACCCUGAGUACUGUAAUAGAGGGUUGCAGAACAAUGGUACCGCACGUGGUACUAUUAUCACCGGACUACGCACUCUCCGUUCCGUCAAGUCAAAGAAUUCGCAAUGGAGCUUACUAGGAGAAGUUCGACCCCGCUGCCCCCAGAAAUUCGACAAAGGGUUCCGUCUCCGUGCCCAAAGUGCGAUAGAGGUUACAAAAAAUUUGUCGACGGAAUUCGAAAACCGAUAAGUCUGAAACGGGUAUACGUCAAGGGUGGCAAAAGCCUCUUCUACAAGGGGGUAAUUUCAGGACAUUUGAUAUUCGAAAAUCACAAAACAUUCACGGACUUGGAAAGGUUUGACGCUUAUGUAAAUAGGAUUAUUGCUCAGUCUGAGAAUAUGUAACUUGUUAGUGCCAGUUGAGUGCCGUUGCUUUUUAAUUUUUGUACAUACGUAGUUUUUAAAUAGAUUUUAUUUUGCAUGUUUUA